rnacentral:rRNA from 3 species
AAACUUUCAACAACGGAUCUCUUGGCUCUGGCAUCGAUGAAGAACGCAGCGAAAUGCGAUACGUAAUGUGAAUUGCAGAAUCCAGUGAAUCAUCGAAUCUUUGAACGCACAUUGCGCCCGCCAGCAUUCUGGCGGGCAUGCCUGUUCGAGCGUCAUUUC